AAUCUGUCCAACAAAGUGUAGUUACACUUGUGCUGUUUCUUGACUAGAAACUUGAGAUCUUGAGGUUCAUGAGUUCCUCUUGGUCUAAGUAAGAACUUGAUGCUGAAAUCUUUGGGUCUUAUGGUCCUUUCUUCAAGUUAGGGUUCAUAGAUUCAUGAAUAUCUUUGUGUCAAGUUACUAUCUUUCAUUUUUGUACUCUUGAAACUAUUGCAUUAACUUAGUGAAGUCGUGUGGGGCUGAUUUCGAUUCACUACAGUUCCUGCCAUUUGUUGUUCUUGUUUUUAACAUUGUACUCUUUGUAAUCUUUCAUCUUGUUGUCAUUGUAAUUUUGAAGUCUAGUGAAGCCGGGUGUGGCCUAUUUCGAUUCACUAGCACCUUGUUGCUCAUCUUGUAAUUCUUGUGUUAGCUUGUUCAUCUUGUUGUUGGUUCUAGAUUCUUCUGUUGUGGACUUGAUAGUGCAUCAUUUGGUAUCAAAGCCAUCUUUGAUUUUGUUCUAACAAGAUCAAUCUUGGGCUUGAGACCUUCAAAACUACAAAAAAAAACUGAAAUCUGAAAAUUUCAGAAACAGUCAAAUCUGCCACCUUUGUGUUCUUGGCUGAAAAUUGUGUUGUGUUGAUGUAUGGGCUGAGAUUUUAUUUUUUUUACUAGAUCUUGUAGUAUUUUGCUUGUUUAGAGUGUUCCUAGUGUGGGUUUCUUUCUCACCAAUACUAAAGGUGUCUAAAUCUAAAGUUGAACUUAAAAUAUUGGCCAUAUGUUAUGACUUGUUGUUGACAAUUGGUGAUGUUGUGUCAUGUUUUUGAAGAAGUUGUUGUUGUGAUCUUGAAGGUUGUUGUGGUGUUCAUCUAGUUCUUUAUCUUUUCUUACAACUUAACAUAAUCAAAAAGUGCAAUAUAAAUUCAAGAGGUGAAGCUGAAAGUUGUAAAGAUUGUUGUGAGAAGCCUUGAACCCAUCACUUUCUAGACUAAACUUCUACUUUUCAGCAACUUUUUCUUAUUUCAAGAACCUUGUGUUGUGGGACAAGAUACUUUUUCUUCUUUCAAGAAUCUUUUGUUGUGGGACAAGAUACUUUUUCUUAUUUCAAGAACCUUGUGUUGUGGGACAAGAUACUUUUGUUUUUUCAAAACAUGUUUCCCCUCCAAAACCAAUUGUCAUCCUUUCCAAAUUGUGUAAAGAAUUAAAUUUCAGAAUUAGUGCUUAAAUUAUGUGGUACCAAUACCAAUUGCAUGCUGCCACGUCACCCAUUUUCUACUGUUCACGUCACCCAUUUGCUACUGUUCACGUCAUUAAUAAGCUCAAAUUUAGGUUUUUCUAGUUUCUAAUUGUUGAUUCUUAGUUUUAUUACUUGGUUCCAGAACUAAUUAACAAGCUAGUACACUCCUACUAGGUUGUCAAUUAGUCCUUUUGAGUUCUUUUGUUCGCGUCCACGUUUACUUGGGUGUUUUUAUUCGUUUGAAUACGUUGUAACUUCUUAACUCCAGUCCGUCGAGAAUUCUUUGAGUUUCAAACAAGAAUCUACUCUGGACAAGAGCUUUAGUCAUAUCUUAAGGAUUCACAGUUACUAGCCAAUCUACAACACUUGUGGAGCUCAAGUGUGAGUGAACCGAAAGAGGGUGAGUGAGGAGAGUGUGAGUGAGGAGAGGUUAACGCUAACUUGUUUGCUGAUUGUGUAGGUGACACCUUAACAUGGAAGGAAGCACAUCCUAAAGUGGGGAUACUACUGAACAAGAAACUAUGAAAGCCACACUUGAGGCCAUUACCAGAAGUUUAGAGAGGUUGAACAUGGAAGUUGGGGCAAUGAGGGGAGAUUUGACUAUGAUAAGUGGGAGAUUGGAGCAAGUGGAGAUUCAUAGAAACUCUCUUCCAUCAACUCCUCAUCAUAUUCCUUCAAGUGGGCAUGAAAAAACUUCAUCCACCACUGUCUCACCCAAAAAAUUGCACCAAAUAAUGAAUCCGCCUCUAGCCCUACUAAAUGCCACAAAUCAUACCACUACAUUACCUCUAAAUCGAUAAGCGAAUAGGCCUCGCCAUUCCCAAACUCCUCUAGUCCCACUAGAAGGAUUCGGCCGUCCAUUACCCCCACAAAAUCUGAACCUACCUUACCAAACUCCACCAAAUCAAAGACCACCUCCUCCACAAAUUCCAAUUCCUCCAAAUCAGAUUCUAAAUCACCAAAACCGACCAGCUCACUUUGAGGAACAUGGUAGAGAGGAGUAUGAUGGAUAUGGACCCUUUGAUGAUGCUUACAUGAGGGAGGGGAAGCUGAGAGGGGGCCGUGUUGAUCCAAGAAGGUACCGAGGGUAUGGAGAAAGGGGAAACCGACACCAAGAAAGAUGCGUAGGCCUCAAUACCAUCAAAUUGAGCUUACCUAUAUUUAAGGGUAAAAGUGACCCCGAGGCCUACUUAGCAUGGGAAUCAGCUUGUGACAAAGUUUUCCAAGUUAAUGAUAUCUCGGAAGAAAAGAAAAGUUGUUAUGCCAUAUCUCAUUUUGUAGGUUAUGCCAACACUUAGUGGGAGUACGUCAGGCAUUUUGGUGAUGAAUUAGUUGAUGGGCAACCACCACCUUGGUUUUGGUUAAGGUACUUGAUGAGGCAACGCUACCUUCCUGAGAGCUAUCGCCAUAAAUUGCUUGCUAGAUUGUACAACUUGUAUCAAGAAAAUAAAAGUGUGAUGGCAUAUUAUGAUUAGUUUCAACAACUCAUGUUGAAACUUGAUCAUCGUGGGGAACAAAUCAGUCAUGACAUUAUCCGAUUCAAGUGUGGGUUGAACAAAGAGAUUUUCACUCAUUUAACACUUCACAAGUUUGAUACUGUUGAAGGUAUUUUCCAAGCGGCUCUUGAGAUUGAAAAAGAACUUAAAGAGAGGUCGUCGUUCAAGGUAAGGGGACAAUCCACCUCGGGAUGGCCUAGAAGCAAGGAUAUGGUUCAAUCUUCUUUGGGUUGGCCCAAAAACAAGGACCAACCCACUAUUAAAAGGCUGCCCGAGCCCAACACAGUCCACAAAAUUCUUCCAAAACAAGAAGUUCACAAGUAUCCUAACACAAAAGAAUUUCAAUGUUUCAAGUGCCAAGGUUGGGGACAUAAAUCUAAUGAAUGUCCAAAUCGAUUCAACGUGAUCCUAUGGGAAGGAAGAUUGUAUUACCAAGGUGAGGGGGUGGGUCUUGAAAAAGAGGAAGAUGCGGACGAGCCUCAAGAUGGAGAGAAAACUGAAAAUAGGCCACUUGAUGAUGGUGAAGUUAUUUACCCACAAGAAGGGGAGUGUGAGGUUCCAAACUUCGUAGUUAGACGCUCUAUGAUUAGUAAGGCAAUAGACGACCCUAGCAAAAGGGAAAAUCUAUUCCAUACUAAAUGCCUUGUAAAUGGGAAUGUGUGCACUUUGGUGAUUGAUAGUGGUAGUUGUGUGAAUAUCGUUAGUGUUGCAAUGGUGAACUUUCUGAAAUUACCAACUACACUUCAUACUAGCCCUUACAAGUUACAAUGGUUGAAUGAAUGCGACGAAUUGAAGGUCAUGAGGCAAUGUGUGAUACGGUUUAAGGUAUAAAACUACCAAGACGAAGUACUUUGUGAUGUGAUACCAAUGCAAGCAUGUCAUUUGUUGUUAGGUAGACCUUGGCAAUAUGAUAGGUCUACCAAACAUGAUGGGAGGUCUAACCGAUAUUCACUUGAGAAGGAUGGUCGAAAGGUUACUCUUUAUCCUCUUUUGCCGUCACAGGUGAACGAAUUACAUCAAAAGAUGAGGGAGUUGAAGGAGAAGGGAAAGAAACCCGAAAAUGGUAAAAUAGAGGGGAAAAUCAUGAGUGGAGCAGUAGGGUUUUUCGGGGCUGCCUCAACGUCGAAUGGGCAAGAAAACAUAGUGAUGUUGGCUAGAAAGAAGGAACUCUUCUUGGAUUAUGAUGUGGACACGCCUAUGCUCCUUUUGGCUUAUUGUUUUAACACUAACCCUACUAAUUCUUCCAUUUCUCCCUUGAUUUCUUGUGUGUUGCAGGAUUAUGAAGAUGUAUUUCCCAAAGAACUUCCACAAGGAUUGCCUCCGCUUCGAUGAAUUGAGCAUCAAAUUGACUUUGUGCCGGGCUCACCAUUGCCAAACAAGCCGGCUUACAAAAGUAACCCUACGGACACCAAAGAAUUGUAACGUCAAGUUGAGAAACUCCUCAACAAAGGGUAUAUCAAAGAGAGCAUGAGUCCUUGUACGGUUCUGAUAUUACUAGUGCUUAAGAAAGAUGGAACAUGGCGUAUGUGUGUGAACUGCCGAGCCAUUAAUAAAAUUACAGUAAAAUAUCGUCACCCUAUCCCUUUGUUAGAUGAUAUGCUUGAUGAAUUGAAUGGUUCGUGUUUAUUUUCCAAGAUUGAUUUAAGGAGUGGCUAUCACCAAAUAAGAAUGCAACCCGGUGAUGAAUGAAAAACCGCCUUCAAGACCAAAUUUGGUCUCUAUGAAUGGAUGGUUAUGCCAUUCGGCCUAACAAAUGCUCCAAGUACUUUCAUGAGGCUAAUGAAUCAUGUGAUGAAGCCAUUUAUUAGAAAAUUUAUUGUUGUAUACUUUGACGGUGUCUUGAUCUAUAGUAAGUCAAUAGAUGAGCAUGUGAAGCAUUUACAAUAUGUGUUUGAUGUCCUUAGAAAGAAAAAGUUAUAUGCAAAUCUAGAAAAGUGCUCCUUUGGUGUUAAUGAAGUUGUUUUCUUAGGUUUUGUUGUUAGUUCAAGAGGUGUCGAAGUGGAUGAGUCCAAGAUAGAUGCUAUAAGAAAUUGGCCAACCCCGCAAACCAUUAGCGAAGUAAGAAGCUUUCACGGGUUGGCUAGUUUUUAUAGAAGGUUUGUCAAAGGAUUUAGCACCAUAGCUGCACCCUUGACCGCAGUCAUUCGAAAAGACCAACCCUUCAAGUGGGGUGAAGAGCAAGCUAAGGCUUUCGAAACCUUGAAAGCUAUGCUUGUUUUCGCGCCUUUAUUAAAAUUGCCCAAUUUUGAUAAGAUGUUUGAAGUUAAGUGCGAUGCUAGUAAAGUAGGCAUAGGGGCUGUUUUGAUGCAAGAUUUAAAACCCAUUGCUUAUUUUAGUGAAAAUCUCAAAGGAGCAAAUCUAAACUACUCCACGUACGAUCUAGAGUUGUAUACCUUGAUUCGAGCCUUGGCCACUUGGCAACACUAUUUGUGGCCCAAGGAGUUCGUGAUCCAAACGGACCAUGAACCCUUGAAGUAUCUUCGGGCACAAUAAAAGCUUAACAAACGGCAUGCCAAAUGGAUUGAGUUUCUUGAAACCUUCUCUUAUGUUAUUCAACACAAAAAGGGUAAGAAUAACGUAGUAGCCGAUGCUCUGUCUAGAAAACACUCUCUUGUGUCAACAUUAUCUUCAAAAUUGAUAGGUUUUGAGAGUUUGAAAGAAUUGUAUCCUGAGGACCCUUACUUUGCUCCUAUCUAUAGGGAAUGCGAAGAAAUGGGUAGGGAUAAGUGGGAUUCGGAUAAGAUUCUAAAUCCUUAUGCCAAGUUUGAUGGAUACUUGUUUAAAGGUAGAUGAUUGUGUGUACCCUCCAGUUCUUGGAGAUUGUUGUUUGUGAGGGAAGCACACAAUGGCGGUCUAAUGGGUCACUUUGGGAUCAAAAAGACCCUUGGAAUAUUGGAGGAGCAAUUCUACUGGCCAAAAAGACACAAUGAUGUGGCCAAUGUGCAGAUUACAAAGGAGCCAAAUCGCGGCUCCUACCUUACGGGUUGUACACCCCGCUGCCUACUUUUUUACGCCCUUGGCUUGACAUAUCCAUGAAUUUUGUGUUAGGAUUUCCAAGGACUAGACGAGGUCGGGAUAGUAUCUUUGUUGUGGUUUAUCGAUUUUCUAAGAUGGCACACUUUAUUCCAUGUUUUAAAUGUGAUGAUGCACCUAGUGUGGCCUCUUUGUUUGUUGUUAAUGUUGUCAAGUUGCAUGGUGUUCCGAGGACCAUUGUGAGUGAUAGGGACUCUAAGUUCCUAAGUCACUUUUGGAAAUCCAUGCGGGGUAGGCUUGGAACUAAGUUGUUAUUCUCCACAUCUUGCCACCCACAAACCGAUGGCCAAACGGAAGUAGUAAAUAGGACUUUGUGUGCUAUGCUACAUUCCAUGGUUAAAGAAAAAUUGACUUCUUGGGAGGAACACCUACCAUUGAUUGAGUUUGCAUAUGACCGUGUCAUACACUCAAGUACGGGAAUGACUCCUUUUGAGUGCGUAUAUGGCCUCAACCCCCUUACCCCUUUGGAUUUAACUCCUUUGCCUAGUGAUGUUAUGAUUAGCUUUGAUGGAAGAAAUCGGGAAGAUUCGAUAAAGAAGUUACAUGAGAAGGUGCGGCUUCGACUUUAGAAGAAAAAUCAAGACAUUGCAAGGAGAGUCAACAAGGGAAGAAAGAAACUCAUUCUUGAACCGGGAGAUUGGGUAUGAGUUCACCUUAGGAAGGAUAGGUUUCCAUCUCAAAGAAAGUCCAAAUUGAUGCCAAGAGGCGAUGGACCAUUCCAAGUACUUCAACGGAUCAAUGAUAAUGCCUACAAGAUUGACCUUUUCCCGGAAUACCAAGUGCACAACACUUUCAACGUGAGUGAUCUUUCUCUAGUGGAUGCGGUUGAGGAUGACCAAAUUCCUAAUUUGAGGUCAAAUUCCUCUCAAGAUGGAGAGGAUGAUACGGGUGUACGAAGCUGUCCAAUACGUUCUCGACCAUUCACACGAAGCCAAGCUCGGGAGUUACAAAAACUACAAGUCAUGUUCAUACAAAUGGCCGUGUGUGAAUUGGUACUUGAUCCGCCAAAGAGCUUAAAUGUUUUUAAGUGUGAAGAGUAGCCUUGAAGUAUAAUAAAUUACACUCCAAGGGCGCCCCAUAACUGAAGGGUAGGAGGGUCAUUUGUCCUUCAUUUUAUGUGUAAUAUAAAUAGAUGCUAGUAGGGUUAUUUUCAGCACUUAGUUCAUACUUCAUAUUUCACAACAACAAGUCUUUUAACAUUGAACAUUUUUCUCUCUCUUAUUCUUGAGAGUAGAACCUGAAAUCUGUCAAACAAAGUGUAGUUACACUUAGUGUUGUUUCUUGGCUAGAAACUUGAGAUCUUGAGGUUCAUGAGUUCCUUUUGGUCUAAGUAAGAACUUGGUGCUGAAAUCUUUGGGUCUUAGGGUCCUUUCUUCAAGUUAGGGUUCAUAGAUUGUAAAAUAUCUUUGUGUCAAGUUACUAUCUUUCGUUUUUGUACUCUUGAAACUAUUGCAGUAACUUAGUGAAGCCGUGUGGGGCUGAUUUCGAUUCACUACAGUUCCUGCCAUUUGUUGUUCUUGUUGUUAACAUUGUACUCUUUGUAAUCUUUCAUCUUGUUGUCAUUGUAAUUUUGAAGUCUAGUGAAGUCGGGUGUGACCUAUUUCGAUUCACUAGCACCUUGUUGCUCAUCUUGUAGUUCUUGUGUUAGCUUGUUCAUCUUGUUGUUGUUUCUAGAUUCUUCUGUUGUGGACUUGAUAGUGCAUCAUUAUGUCUUGACAUAAAUAUAAUUUUUUCUCA
rnacentral:lncRNA from 1 species